AAAUAGUAAAAUAGGCUACGCAGUGUGAUGUUAAACAGAGUUCAUACAGUAAAAAUGAAAGUGUGACAACUUUACAGGCAAAUAUUUUAAAGCUUUAAAGAUAUCUUUAAAUAUAAUUUUAUACUGUACUGUAUAGGGUUCAGUGGACUCUGCAACUCAGAGAUUUAGAGAAUCUUCACCCUGGAGCAACUGGUGCAACAACACUGGAGCUGCUGGACUUAUAUAAAGUCAAUGCGGGGCCUCUGAUCUGUUUGGUUACAAACAUUCCCAAAAACAUCUUUCUUCGUGUUCAUCAGAACAAAGAAAGAUAUGCAGGUGAUCUGAACACGCUGGGUCUCUGAAUCGAGUCCACAGUAGGUGGCGGUAAUGCGCGAAAUUUGUGCAAUCUGCCAAAAAGGGUAGAAGAAGAAGAACACAAAACGGAAGAAGACCCAACUUCCGGCUCUUCUUGAUGCUCGUGGUGCAGGAGGGAGGUCGUCUGGUGUCGAUAUUUCUGUAUAAAUUGCUUCACAUAUAAGGCUCUCGAUGUUUGUUUCAAGGUGAGAUACACAUUACGUUAUAUGUUUUGUGGAGCAUUGUGUUUUUUGUCUAAAUGUCAUUUAUUUUUGUAAGAAUGACACUACAUUCAUUGCAAUAAAAAUGUAUUGCAAAAAAAUAUUAACUAAAUAACAGUUAAGAAAUCAACAGGUUUUGUGUUAAAUACAUACGUGUUUUUACUUGUCUUCAUUAUAUGAUUUUAAACAAGAUUUGCCAAUGCACGUGGGCGCGUUGGGCCACGUGCACUGUCUGCCAGUUCAAAUGCUUUUUUUACGGUUUAAUUUAUUAGAAUUACAGUUAACUUACAUCUUUAUAAAAUUAGCCAAUUAAUUAACAUUUUCUUAUUAUAACCAAACAAACAGUUUUUAGUUUACGUGGUUAUUUGCUGAUAAUGCUUAUAAUUUGGUUGUGUGUUUUAAAAAUAAGCUGCUAAUAUUUUAAACUGUAACGUGUUUGUGAACGUGAAGUGUGUUGUUUGUAAUGCAGGCUGAUCAGCGAGGUUGAGUCUGAUGUGACUCUGUCCUUUCCUUUUAUGUCUGCUAGAUGGAUUUGGGGUGGUUUGAGGCCAUGCUGUCUACCUCAUACAGCCCGGUUAUAGAAACCCCGGACAAAACCAUGCUCAGUGACAAAUGUACGCAAACGUUUUGUGUAUGCUACCACUUUCUGUAAUGUACUCAAAUAUAUCUCUCUUUCAGGAUGAUGGAGCAUUAACUUUUUUUUGAGCUGGCUGGAUAAAGUAUAAGGACCUGCUGCAAGAAAGUAAGUUCAGCAUAUGAAGAUUUAGUCAAUGCAAAGCCAUUAUGUGUUGAACUAAAUGGCCAGUACUGCAGGCUGUUCAGCGAGGUUUAGUCAUUGUGACUCUUGCCUUUCCUGUGAUGUCUGCUAGAGAGACUUGAGGUGGUUUGAGGCCUGCUGUGUUACUUGUCAUGGCAUGGUUAUAUAAUCUUCAAACAUUUGAAUACAUAUGUAUUAAUAUGGUGCUUUUACAGUGUUGCUGCAUUGUUUCAAAGCAACUUUAGUUGAUAAAACUGUAAAACUAAGUACAUGAAGGACAGAAUACAUGCUGUUAUUUAUUGCACAUUUUAUUUUAAUUUAUUAAAAUAUAAAUUGGUAUGUAGCUUUGGAGAGCAAAGUCUUUUAUUUUUUGUCUU